rnacentral:rRNA from 1 species
AUUGAACGCUGGCGGCAUGCCUUACACAUGCAAGUCGAACGGCAGCGGGGACUUCGGUCCGCCGGCGAGUGGCGAACGGGUGAGUAAUGUAUCGGAACGUACCAUUGAGUGGGGGAUAACGUAGCGAAAGUUACGCUAAUACCGCAUAUUCUCUCCGGAGGAAAGCAGGGGACCGCAAGGCCUUGCGCUCUUUGAGCGGCCGAUGUCAGAUUGGCUAGUUGGUGGGGUAAAAGCGCACCAAGGCGACGAUCUGUAGCAGGUCUGAGAGGAUGAGCCGCAACACUGGAACUGAGACACGGGCCAGAAUCCUACGGGAGGCAGCAGUGUGGAAUGUUGGACAAUGGGUGCAACCCUGAUCCAGCCAUGCCGCGUGAGUGAAGAAGGCCUUCGGGUUGUAAAGCUCUUUCGGCCGGGAAAAAAUCGCAUGGGUUAAUACCCUGUGUGGAUGAUGGUACCGGAAUAAGAAGCACCGGCUAACUACGUGCCAGCCGCCGCGGUAA